UACAGAGGUCUCAAGCGUUGUUCGGAUUCAUUGGGCGUAAAGGGUGCGUAGGCGGCGCGGUAAGUCGGGUGUGAAAUCUCGGAGCUUAACUCCGAAACUGCAUUCGAUACUGCCGUGCUUGAGGACUGGAGAGGAGACUGGAAUUUACGGUGUAGCGGUGAAAUGCGCAGAUAUCAGGAGGAACACCGGUGGCGAAGGCGGGUCUCUGGGCCGUAACUGACGCUGAGGAGCGAAAGCGUGGGGGAGCGAACAGG
rnacentral:rRNA from 1 species